rnacentral:misc_RNA from 1 species
GAGGCGCGAAAGGUGGUGCGACGCGCGCGGUGCGAGCAUCGAGUCUUUGAAUGCAGAAGGCGUCUGGCGCAAGGCUGGACGGGUGGUGGCGAUGGUGGAUCGGAUUGUGUGUCUGAUGACGCAUGAAGAGUUGAGAGUGUAUGUCAGGCGACGACGCAUGCACGCUGUAUGAGAAUACAACACGUAAUAUGCACCAUCACCACCACCAGACUACCCGCCGAACUUAA